rnacentral:misc_RNA from 1 species
AUUAUUGAUACAGUUUCUGUACUAUAUUGGUACGCGAAGCUUCCA